rnacentral:rRNA from 1 species
UGGGGAAUUUUGCACAAUGGGGGAAACCCUGAUGCAGCGACGCCGCGUGAUUUAGAAGGCCUUCGGGUUGUAAAAAUCUUUUCUAUGGGAAGAAAAUGACAGUACCAUAGGAAUAAGGACCGGCUAAUUACGUGCCAGCAGCCGCGGUAAUACGUAAGGUCCGAGCGUUGUCCGGAAUCAUUGGGCGUAAAGGGUACGUAGGCGGGUAAGCAAGUUAGAAGUGAAAUCCUAUAGCUCAACUAUAGUAAGCUUUUAAAACUGCUCAUCUUGUGUCAUGGAAGGGAAAGUGGAAUUCCGAGUUUAGCGGUGAAAUGCGGAUAUAUUAGGAGGAAUACCGGUGGCGAAGGCGACUUCCUGGCCAUACCCUGACGCUGAGGUACGAAAGCGUGGGUAGCAAACAGG